rnacentral:tRNA from 1 species
GCACCCUUAGCUCAGCUGGAUAGAGCGUUAGACUACGAAUCUAAAUAGGAGUUCGAAUCUCUCAGGGUGCACCA